AGAGUUUGAUCCUGGCUCAGAUUGAACGCUGGCGGCAUGCUUUACACAUGCAAGUCGAACGGCAGCACGGGCUUCGGCCUGGUGGCGAGUGGCGAACGGGUGAGUAAUGCGUCGGAACGCGCCGAGUAGUGGGGGAUAACGCAGCGAAAGCUGUGCUAAUACCGCAUACGUACUGAGGUAGAAAGUGGGGGACCUUUGGGCCUCACGCUAUUCGAGCGGCCGACGUCUGAUUAGCUAGUUGGUGGGGUAAAGGCUCACCAAGGCGACGAUCAGUAGCGGGUCUGAGAGGAUGAUCCGCCACACUGGGACUGAGACACGGCCCAGACUCCUACGGGAGGCAGCAGUGGGGAAUUUUGGACAAUGGGCGCAAGCCUGAUCCAGCCAUGCCGCGUGUCUGAAGAAGGCCUU
rnacentral:rRNA from 1 species